UAAAAGAAUAGAUAUACCUUGUAUAAUUUCAAGAAUACGGCUUGAAAGUUUCUACUAGCUACCAAUAAAUAGCUUGUCUACAAGGAAUGGGAAAU
rnacentral:ncRNA from 1 species